UCAAGGACAAGUUGUGGCCUUUGUGAUUAGCCUAAAGAAUGCUGCCCAAGGAAGCGCCGAGUGUAUCGGAAGGAUGCAUGGCUCCACUUCUUGCUGCUAUAGUGCCAAAUUCCUCAGGUAAGCCUCAAAGGAAACUGUAUGUUCAGGCCAAAAAGACUAAUAAGCUGAAGGCUAGACAAUUACUCAAGAAGAAAAAAAAUGAGGAAGAAGUAAAAGUGGUAGGGGGGGAACAUGAUCACCUCAGUAGUCUCCCAUGGAAAUGAGUUCAUGGAAUACCUGCCUGUCUUUGUCAAGUAUGCUUAUCAGCUGAUAAGAUGAACUUAAAAUGUGACAGCAAAUUUUGCUGUGUGUGUACCCACCACUCAAGAUAAGCAGACCUGAGACAGUGUUGGAACUUGGAGUGGUAAACCUGAUUGUCCGUCCUUUUUCUUUUCUUUCCUUUCUUUUAUUUCUUAUAGAUGUAUGAAUAAGAGACCACAUUGCUUACUAUCAUUUUCCAAGUUUAGGUCAUUUGGUGUCGUUUCACCUUCAUUUAACCUAUGAGGAUCACAGAACCUUUACGACUCCCUGAGCUCCCAGUCCAGGUCGUAACACCGUUUUCCACAGUCAGUCCCUCCCUAGCAAGGGCAGCCUGCUCUGCACUGUGGGAGAUGGUGUGGACGUACACACACACAGACAGUCUAUCCCUGGAAACCCCAAGAGAAUGGAAAAGGCAGCAUCCUUGCUGGAAGAGGCGACUUCAGCCUGUCUCCAUACCUCCACUAGAGACCAAGUGCUGCUGACGUGAAGAAAGCAGACAAGGGGAACCUUCUUCCUUGCUCCAUGCUGGGUAUCCCAUGGUAUUUCUUUAAGAGAAAAAGUGGAGGUACAGCCCUCAGGAAUGACAGAAAGUCAAGAGCCACUUCGUUGGUCAUGCCUUUGUUGAAUGGCCAGGUGAGGAUCACUCUGAAAGUGUCCUGAGGCUCUAAACUUCAAUGAUUCAGCUCUGAGGAAGAGAUCUUAAGGAGGAAUGCCUGUCCCACUGGAGUCAUCCCUGGAUUUUGCCAUUGGUCUCAGUGAAGCUGACAUUUUUACUGAUUGGGCUCCCGGGUGGCUGGAAGAGGUCUGGAGAGGCAAGUGGAGAGACUGGGAAUUUUAACACCUCCUGUGCUCAGAUAUUAUAUCUCAUUGUAAAGGCCUUGGGGGUCUCUUACAAGCAGCAAUGUCAUCCCUGACUGGAGCACAAAGCAAUUCUGUAGGUAACAAGAGAAGAUCACCUUUAAUGAUAUAGCCUUCAGGUCCCAGAAGGAUGUAGAAGUGUCAAGAUGGAACCUAACUUUAUUUCUGUAUAAACAACCUUCUUUCACUUCUCCAGGUCCAGAUCAAGAUGCUUUGAUAAUUAAAUGCUGAAACAGCAUCUAGGAGUAUGACUUGGCCUACUUUGAUCAUAUUCCCCCAACAACCCGAAAGUUUGUAGUAUUUUUCACAGUUGGUACAACACUCUACAGUUGAAAUGCGCAGAAAUCCUCAAGAACUAACUUUGUGGCAGUAACAUUUGACCAUUUGAAAUACGGGGUUGUUUUGGAACAGAAGAAUUUUUUUUUUUUUUUUUUUUUGGCUGGUGCUAGCAUGCAUUUUCUUGACCUCUCCAUAAAGACCUGGCCAUGCCAGGUUCUGAGGACUCUCUUGGGGAUACAGAACAUUUGUUGCUGUCCAUGGAAACCUUGCCCUUGUGCACUCUGUGUGACGCAAAAGCCAUAAGGAUAAUGUUUACACAAAGUCAUUUGUAGCACUACUGAUAACGCGAGUGAGUGCGGCUUUUUUACAUGGGUUGGUACGUAUUUUCUGAGAAGUUGGAGUGGCACAUCCCUGCCCAGCCCAUAUUGUGGAGAGGUAGUCUGUACAUGCCUUACUUUAGUCAAAACUUUUCCUUUCCUGGAAUUUUUCCAAGGUUUCCAUAUGUUAAAACAGUGUUUUCCGUUACUAAAUAAAUAAUAAUAAUAAAA